rnacentral:rRNA from 1 species
GAUGAACGCUAGCGGCGGGCUUAAUACAUGCAAGUCAAGGGGUAGCAAUACACCGGCGUACGGGUGCGUAACGCGUAUGGAACCUGCCCUUAUCUGGGGGAUAACUCGGGGAAACUCGAGCUAAUACCGCAUAAGAUAGUAAAGAGGCAUCUCUUAGCUAUUCAAGAUUUAUAGGAUAAGGAUGGCCAUGCGUAAGAUUAGAUAGUUGGCGAGGUAACGGCUCUCCAAGUCUACGAUCUUUAGGGGCUCUGAGAGGAGAAUCCCCCACACUGGCACUGAGAUACGGGCCAGACUCCUACGGGAGGCAGCAGUAGGGAAUAUUGGGCAAUGGGCGGAAGCCUGACCCAGCCACGCCGCGUGCAGGAAGACGGCCCUCUGGGUUGUAAACUGCUUUUAACUGGGAAGAAAGCAGCUCAUGCGUGAGAAUUUGACGGUACCAGUUGAAUAAGCCACGGCUAACUACGUGCCAGCCGCCGCGGUAAAAC